AGUGAACGCUGGCGGUAGGCCUAACACAUGCAAGUCGAACGGCAGCACAGUAAGAGCUUGCUCUUACGGGUGGCGAGUGGCGGACGGGUGAGGAAUACAUCGGAAUCUACUUUUUCGUGGGGGAUAACGUAGGGAAACUUACGAUAAUACCGCAUACGACCUACGGGUGAAAGCAGGGGAUAUUCGGACCUUGCGCGAUUGAAUGAGCCGAUGUCGGAUUAGUUAGUUGGCGGGGUAAAGGCCCACCAAGGCGACGAUCCGUAGCUGGUCUGAGAGGAUGAUCAGCCACACGGGAACUGAGACACGGUCCAGACUCCUACGGGAGGCAGCAGUGGGGAAUAUUGGACAAGGGGCGCAAUCCUGAUCCAGCCAGACCGCGUGGGGGAAGAAGGCCUUCGGGUUGUAAAGCCCUUUUGUUGGGAAAGAAAAGCAGCAGGUUAAUACCCCGCUGUUCUGACGGUACCCAAAGAAUAAGCACCGGCUAACUUCGUG
rnacentral:rRNA from 1 species